CACCCGAUGACUGAAAGCAAGUAUAGGUCUUUUAAACCUAUCAUAGUAUAUUAGCACCUACUUCUGGUG
rnacentral:tRNA from 1 species